rnacentral:lncRNA from 1 species
CAGGGAGAUUUGUGGAGUCACUUGCUCUGUAAUGCUCUCAGAAGAUGCAGAGUUACCUUCUGGCCAUGGACAUAACAGUUCUUCCAACAUUCCCAGACCAAAUUAAUUCAUGAAAAAUUCCUGGCAGGCAACUCUGCAACACAUUUCCAGUCCCAAAGUCACCACUGAACAGCUAUUCCACAUGUCCACCUCCAUGGGAUGAAAAACGUUGCCCUGCAGUAAUAAACUGCAGACCUGAAGUCA